rnacentral:rRNA from 1 species
GACGAACGCUGGCGGCGUGCCUAAUACAUGCAAGUCGAGCGGACCAAAGGGAGCUUGCUCCUGGAGGUUAGCGGCGAACGGGUGAGUAACACGUGGGCAACCUGCCUGUAAGACUGGGAUAACAUCGAGAAAUCGGUGCUAAUACCGGAUAAUAAAAAGAACUGCAUGGUUCUUUUUUGAAAGAUGGUUUCGGCUAUCACUUACAGAUGGGCCCGCGGCGCAUUAGCUAGUUGGUGAGGUAACGGCUCACCAAGGCGACGAUGCGUAGCCGACCUGAGAGGGUGAUCGGCCACACUGGGACUGAGACACGGCCCAGACUCCUACGGGAGGCAGCAGUAGGGAAUCUUCCGCAAUGGACGAAAGUCUGACGGAGCAACGCCGCGUGAGUGAUGAAGGUUUUCGGAUCGUAAAACUCUGUUGUUAGGGAAGAACAAGUGCCGUUCGAAAGGCGGCACCUUGACGGUACCUAACGAGAAAGCCACGGCUAACUACGUGCCAGCAGCCGCGGUAAA